GCUGGGUGUGGUGGUGCGCACCUGUAAUCUCAGCUACUUGGGAGGCUGAGGCAGGAGAAUUGCUUGAACCCAGGAGGCAGAUGUUGCAGUGAGCUGAGAUCCAGCCACUGCACUCCAGCCUGGGUGAUAGAGCAGGACUCCGUCUUCA
rnacentral:SRP_RNA from 1 species